GGAAGCAGGCAGGUACUCUCGGGACUCGUCUGAUUCUCCACGCUCAUCGCCGGAUUUAAGCAAGAUAAUGGAACUGCUUCCUAAAUUCUUCACCAGCGGUGCCGUUGUGGAUUCCUUUAUGAGUGUUCCACGUUCGCUCGCCAUCUAUGGAGAGUGUUCGGCGCGGCAGCAUCAGAUGGUGGAGCAGCGCUAAUCAGCUGUUUUGGUUGCGACUGAAAGAUUGGAUCAUACCAGACAGGGCGGGUUUGCUGAGCACCUGCUGCAAGACAAAAACAUCAAUUUUUUCAAGAAUGCAAGAGUUACAAAGCAGACCUUCUGAGAUCUUGUAAGCCUUGUUGAUGCAGCACACCAGACAAGUGUGAAGAUCUCUGCUUCGAGAGGUUUGGUGUUAGAAGAGAAUCAUUACUAACAGAGAGGAGCAGUUUUGCAAGAAUGUUGUUAGUCAAGUGGGUGGCAGCUUCAGUGCAGCAGAAGGAAUCAAGUGUUGAAAUCUCCCUUCACCAGCAUUGCCACAUACAACACCGACACCUGCUGUGGUGUGUGUUGAUGUCACUGCAGCACUCCUUCCCUACGUGUCCAAGACUCCACUGGUCGCGGUGUCUUGGUAACGGUGACCUGAUGAAGCAGACAAGAUGAUCCCCCAAGAAAAGCCGGCAGGAUGGAGGACGCCACUCAGGAGGCAAAAGUAAGUCCGUCAUUAACUGGACCUGGAACAUGAGAGCAGAGGAGUAAGACCAAUCACCAGCCACAGGAGGGAGAGAUGAUCACCAUAUUGUGCCCCAGCUGUGGUGACCAACUGUGGUUUGUAGACAUACUGUGGAUCCGAAAGAGAGAUUGAUUGAUUAUUUUGUUGUUUAUUUUGGUUAUGCAAAUACAUACAUAAUCAAUGAAAGUACAUAUAAAUCCUGAUUGUGCAGUCAGGUCCAAUAAGCCGAGGCUUUAGUAUGGCCUGUAGAGUAAGUAAGAUAUAGGCAUGACGAGUGGUGCAUCAAUGCAACUUAAAUGUUAAUACAUAAAUGUACUAUAUAAUCGUAUAAAAUGGAAACAUUUCUGUAUAUGAGGCGUUGCGUGACGGAGGGAGUUAAGCGCCACCAUAGACGAAAUUGAGUUAUGUAUAGCACUGUCUUCGCCAGUCUCAGCUUUCCAGCGGUACCAAACUUAGGAGUAAGCGCCAACGCCUUCAUGGUCAAAAAUCCCAUAACGUAACAUUAACUUUUCUCCGUACUGUUGCUCCAUCCGUCAUGCAUCAACCCAGCCUUCACGAGGGGAGAUAAGUGACAAGCUGAGUGACCAAUCCCUUGCUGCGUAGCGUACCGCAUAGCUCUGCCUCGGCCAAUCACUGUCUGCCGUGCAUCCCCAGCUGCCCGCGGCCCGCCACCAGCCAAGCCAGUCUACGCUAUUGUUUCCGCAAACCCCGUGAUUAAUAACUUUGUUUUUUUUAUAACGUUGGUCAGUAGAUACUGUGUUAAGGCUUCUAACAGUGGUGAAGGGAGUGCCGAAGCGGGGUUAUUACGACACAAAACAGGCCCCAGCCCUAGUGAGUGGAAGAGAAUUGUGGCGAAAACCAAACGGAACACCGGCCAGGAAUACGUGAGCCGAGAUACAGGGAAAGUUGUAAAAAAGCGUGAGGAAGGGCUUGCAUGCAAGGAUGGUUACACACACAACUGUUUGGGUCUAUGGGCGAUAUUAUGGGGCCGUGGUGCAAAGUGCUUGUGUAUGUAGCUUUGUGUACAAAUAGGCUUGUUUGCAGGUAUAUAUCAUGAAGAUUUAGUAUCCUGGAUUCAUUAAACAGACAUUGUGUUUACAAUGAUCAUAACGGUUUUUAUAGCACAUAAUGUGUAUUAGUGUGACAAAUAAAGCUGUCAACGUAUGGUUUGUAGGCACCUCCCUCUCGGUUUAGGCUCACAUCUUUCCAUCUUGGAGGAGACAUCUGGCAACCCCCAUGACACUGCGGGUGGAACGUCCCCUCUGCAUGAGGGGAGAUAACACAACGACGAGAUGGAUAGUGUUAUAUACAUGUCAUUUGGGAGUGAU
rnacentral:lncRNA from 1 species